rnacentral:tRNA from 1 species
GGAUCCAUUGCUCAGUUGAUAGAGCACAAGGCUCUUAACCUUGUGGACGUGGGUUCA